rnacentral:rRNA from 1 species
AACGAACGUUGGCGGCGUGGAUUAGGCAUGCAAGUCGAACGAAUCUCAGUAGCAAUACUGGGGGAAGUGGCGAAAGGGGCAGUAAGGCAUGGGUAACCUACCCUGGGGACUGGGAUAGCCUUUCUAACGAGAGGGUAAUACCGGGCGAUGUAGCGAGAUAGCAUUAUUUUGCUACGAAAUGAGUUUCGCCUCGGGAGGGGCCCAUGUGAUAUUAGCUAGUUGGUGAGGUAACGGCUCACCAAGGCCAAGAUGUCUAGCGGGUGUGAGAGCACGACCCGCGCCACUGGCACUGUGACACUGGCCAGACUCCUACGGGAGGCUGCAGUCGAGGAUCUUCGGCAAUGGGCGCAAGCCUGACCGAGCGACGCCGCGUGUGCGAUGAAGGCCUCGGUUGUAAGCACUGUCGAGGGGAGUAAAGGACGCAAGCUUGAUAGAUCCUCGGAGGAAGCACGGGCUAAGUUCGUGCCAGCAG